CUUUUGCUCUAUAUUUGAAAUAAUAUAGUGGUGCUCAGCCUGCGACUAGUGAGCCAGAUGUAACCUGCUGACUGUUGAUAUGACGCAAGGGAAAGCUUCUAAACACAAAAAAUCCAUUGAAGAGGACAUUACAAGAGCCAAUAAACUGACAGCAUGGACAGAAGGGUGUGAGAAUUGGCAGGAAGUCAGAUGAGGGAAUAUCUAAUGAAAAGAGGAGUCACUGCCACAGAAAUGGAGGAGGCUAUGAAGAAAAGAAACAGAUAUAUAUCUGAUAAAAUCCAGGAUAUAUGUUUCAAUAUUGCUAAAGUCAAUGAUUCUUAAACAAAAUAAAUCUUUUUUAAGUUUU